AAAAAAGAGAGAAAAGGAUGAAAUAUGGAGUUUUUAUGCAGGAGGAAGGAGAGGUUAGAGAGGAGUUGAAAAUGGUGAAAGAUAGAUGAAAGAAGUUGAAACAAACAGGAAUAUGGAAGAAGGAAAUUGAAAAGUUGUUGUCAUGUUGAGACAAAUUAAGGUUGAAAAUUUUGCGUAUUGUUUAUUGUCUGUAUCUUUGUUGGGUUGGUUUGUUUGAUGCCUGUUAUUUCACGGUUGGCAAAUGUCAUGUUUAAAUGUAACAAACUUUAUAGAUUAAAUUAAUUAAUAAUUAAAGUAUAGUUAUAUAAUUCUUUACAAUAUCACAUGGUUAUAUUUUUU
rnacentral:lncRNA from 1 species